CAAGCAAUAAGCCAUCAGCUAUUUUUCAUCGUUUUAUAUAUAUAUAGAUGGCCAUCAAGGCGCAGAAUCUCCACUAUAGUGCUCAGCUCAUAUUGGUAUUUAAUAGGCAUCCUCCGAUGAACCAGUCGAUGAAAUGCAAGGAUGCAUGUUGGAGGAAGAGGACGGAGGGGCACCACUGAUCCCACAACAGGACGUAACGUGCAGAAGGAAGACGCGGCCGCUGCUGUCCCCACUGGAGCAGAGAGGACGUGUGCCUUUGAUGUUCCACUCAAAAUUAUUAAUUCCCCGCAUCAGGUUCUGUGUUUCAUCUACAUUUAAAGUCCACAUCUUGAGUCUGAGCAAAGCUUCUGCUAUGCAAAUCAGCACCUA